rnacentral:rRNA from 1 species
GAAUUUUGGACAAUGGGCGAAAGCCUGAUCCAGCAAUGCCGCGUGCAGGAUGAAGGCCUUCGGGUUGUAACCUGCUUUUGUACGGAAGGAAAAGCUUUGGGUUAAUACCCUGUAGUCAUGACGGUACCAUAAGAAUAAGCACCGGCUCACUACGUGCCAGAAGCCGCGGUAAAACGGAGGGUGCACGCGUUACUCGCAUUUACUGGGCGUAAAGCGUGCGCAGGCUGUUUUGUAAGACAGAGGUGAAAUCCCCGGGCUCAACCUGGGAACUGCCUUUGUGACUGCAAGGCUAGAGUACGGCAGAGGGGGGUGGAAUUCCGCGUGUAGCAGUGAAAUGCGUAGAUAUGCGGAGGAACACCGAUGGCGAAGGCAACCCCCUGGGCCUGUACUGACGCUCAUGCACGAAAGCGUGGGGAGCAAACA